UUGAUCCUGGCUCAGAAUCAACGCUGGCGGCGUGCCUAACACAUGCAAGUCGAACGCGAAAGUCCCGCAAGGGAUCGGUAGAGUGGCAAACGGGUGAGUUACACGUGGGUGACCUGCCUUCGAGUGGGGGAUAACGUCCCGAAAGGGACUCUAAUACCGCAUGACAUCCUGCCUUUGAACAGGUGGAAAUCAAAGCUGGUGAUCGCAAGACCUAGCGCUUGAAGAGGGGCCCGCGCCUGAUUAGCUAGUUGGUGAGGUAACGGCUCACCAAGGCAACGAUCAGUAUCCGGCCUGAGAGGUCGGACGGACACACUGGGACUGAGACACGGCCCAGACUCCUACGGGAGGCUGCAGUGGGGAAUUGUUCGCAAUGGGCGCAAGCCUGACGACGCAACGCCGUGUGGAGGAUGAAGACCUUCGGGUCGUAAACUCCUUUCGAUCGAGACGAAUGGCUUCCGGGCUAAUCACCGGGAGAGUGACGGUACCGAGAGAAGAAGCCUCGGCUAACUCCGUGCCAGCAGCCGCGGUAAUAAGGU
rnacentral:rRNA from 1 species